rnacentral:rRNA from 1 species
ACGGAGGGUGCAAGCGUUAUUCGGAUUUAUUGGGCGUAAGGGCCCGUAGGGGGGCUUUUAAGUUCGGUGGGAAAUUCCCGGGCUUAACCCUCGGAGGGGCUUUGAAACUGGGAAGCUUGAGUAUGGGAGAGGGAAACGGAAUUCCUGGUGUAGCGGUGAAAUGCGUAGAUAUCAGGAGGAACACCGGUGGCGAAAGCGGUUUCCCGGACCAAUACUGACGCUGAGGCGCGAAGGCGCGGGGAUCAAACAG